ACCUCCUGUUCCCAUUCUGAGCUAUUACUGUAAGUUACAAAAUCAGAUAGAGAAACAAGGAUUGCAACUAAUUUCAGGCCAAAUGUCUUGUAUCUACUUUUAUUCCACUGAAAGGUCACAUGUGUAAGUGCAGCUUUAACUAGCUACAUCAUCCUUGCUAUCUUUGCUCUCUACACAUGAGCAUAGCUGUAGCCAGCUGGCCUCAUUACAGGACCCAAUGUUUCAGCAGCAGUAAUGCAGCCCUAUAAAAAUUCAACACUUCUCUCACACCCAGGGCCCUUGUUAUUUUUAGCUUCAGAGGGGCAGAUGCUUCUCCUAAACUUUUUUCAUUUUGGUUAGACCUUCAUGCAACAUUAGAGAAGACUCCUCUAAGUCCAUAAGCUCUAACAAAUAAAUGAAGAACAGCCAACCUUAUUCAAGAGAGAGAGAGUUUUGAGUGAGAAAGAUCUUUAUUCCAAAGGUUAAGCAGAGUCUUAUACAGAGUAUGUAGAAAUCUGUGCAUCAAAUUUAGGCAAGUAUGUUUUUGCUACUACUUCAUUAAACUGCUGAUAAGCUGGACUUUAUGACCCCUGUACAGGGCAAAGUGUGACCCUGCUGGACAAUUUCAGUGUCCAUCUGCCAGUUUAAAAAGGAUUAAAAUCCAUCAAGUAUUUUAUGAAGCAGCAGCUCUUCCAGAAGCAUAUCCAUCUUCGUACAUUACUCCUAUUGGGAAUUUGCUCAUUUGCUUUAGCAAUCAAA